GCCAGGGUGGCAGAGUGGCAAUGCGUCUGACUGCAGAUCAGAUCUAAAUGAGUUCGAUUCUCAUCCCUGGCU
rnacentral:tRNA from 1 species